AGGGUUUGAUCAUGGCUCAGGACGAACGCUGGCGGCGUGCUUAACACAUGCAAGUCAAGGGGGCCCAGCAAUGGGCAACCGGCGAACGGGUGCGUAACACGUGAGCAAUCUACCUUCUUGUGGGGGAUAGCCGGCCCAACGGCCGGGUAAUACCGCAUACGAUCUUCGAGAGGCAUUUCUUGAAGAUGAAGCCUUCGGGGCAGGAAGAGGAGCUCGCGGCCUAUCAGCUAGUUGGUGAGGUAACGGCUCACCAAGGCGAUGACGGGUAGCUGGUCUGAGAGGAUGGCCAGCCACAUUGGGACUGAGAUACGGCCCAGACUCCUACGGGAGGCAGCAGUGGGGAAUAUUGCGCAAUGGUCUAACGACUGACGCAGCGACGCCGCGUGAGGGAUGAAGCUCCUCGGAGUGUAAACCUCUGUUGCCAGGGACGAACAGCUGAAUUCAUUCAGCCUGACGGUACCUGGUGAGGAAGCACCGGCUAACUCCGUGCCAGCAGCCGCGGUAAUACGGGGGGUGCGAGCGUUGUCCGGAAUCACUGGGCGUAAAGGGCGCGUAGGUGGCCUGAUAAGGGUGUGGUGAAAGUCCGGGGCUUAACCCCGGAUCUGCCGUGCCGACUGUUAGGCUAGAGUGCUGUAGGGGCAGGCGGAAUUCCGGGUGUAGCGGUGGAAUGCGUAGAGAUCCGGAGGAAGACCGGUGGCGAAGGCGGCCUGCUGGGCAGAUACUGACACUGAGGCGCGACAGCGUGGGGAGCAAACAGGAUUAGAUACCCUGGUAGUCCACGCCGUAAACGAUGGGUACUAGGUGCCUGGGGGAGCGACCCCUUGGGUGCCGGCGCUAACGCAGGAAGUACCCCGCCUGGGGAGUACGACCGCAAGGUUGAAACUCAAAGGAAUUGACGGGGGCCCGCACAAGCGGUG
rnacentral:rRNA from 1 species